rnacentral:rRNA from 1 species
GUGAGGAAUAUUGCGCAAUGGAGGCAACUCUGACGCAGCCAUGCCGCGUGCAGGAAGAAGGCGCUACGCGUUGUAAACUGCUUUUAACCGGGAAGAAACCCCAGGACGUGUCCUGGGUUGACGGUACCGGAGGAAUAAGCACCGGCUAACUUCGUGCCAGCAGCCGCGGUAAUACGAAGGGUGCAAGCGUUAUCCGGAUUCAUUGGGUUUAAAGGGUGCGUAGGCGGAGCGUUGAGUCAGUGGUGAAGUCCUGCAGCUUAACUGUAGACUUGCCAUUGAUACUGGCGCUCUUGAGUGCGCUUGAAGUGGGCGGAAUGUGCCGUGUAGCGGUGAAAUGCUUAGAUAUGGCACAGAACACCAAUUGCGAAGGCAGCUCACUAAGGCGAUACUGACGCUGAGGCACGAAAGCGUGGGGAUCGAACAGGAUUAGAAACCCCUGUAGUCC